CACAAAAACAAAAACCUCUAGUUACAAUCCGAACUCUACUCUUCUCUCUUUCAAUCCGAAUUCUACAAAGACACUUAUGGAACCAUUGUUUCCAAUCUCAGAUCUUUGUUUUUCUCGAAGUAAUUUCAAUGUGAGGAAGAUCAUUUUGUGAACCAGAUUCUUCAAAUUGAGAUCUUGAUCCAAAAUUGUAAUCAAUGUCGUCCCUCUGAGUGCCGAUCGAUAAUAUUAAGGAGCUGCUGUGAGUGCUGACUUUGUUUGGCUCGUUCUCCUUCGUUAGAGAAGCUUUUUAGCCUACCACCGCCUAUGCUUGAUGCUGCUGCCAGCCUGCCACCGCCUAUGCUUGAUGCUGCUGCCAGCCUGCCACCAGCCUAUGCUUGAUGCUGCUGCUGCUUCCUCUGCUUAGAUGUUGUUGCUUCCUAUGCUUACUACUGCUCAUGGGGUUUUCUAAGCUAAAAAAAAAGGGGAACAUUUUUUGAUAUUACAGUUUUUUUAAGCGUUCCUUUUUUAUUUUUUUAUGAGUCGGGUUAUUGAUGUUUAUGUCUAUUUUUGUUGUUCCUAACAAAUUUCACGUUGCUAUUGUAGGCUUAUUGGGUUUGAAGUGAGAAUUGAAGCCUCUUGGUUAUAUUUGUGUGUUUUGAUUGAAAUUCUAUUUUUUUUAUAUCUUUGCGCAUUUCAAAACAAAAUCAUUUGCCAUUGUUCUAAAUUUUUUAUAGAAGAUAAGAUACAUUGUCACUAUUCUAAUAUUUUUGAGAAAAUUAUCAGGAAAAAAAGAGGGGGUUAAAGAUAUUGGAUCCUACAGUAGCAAGCUUCAAUGAGGUGCUCAAUAAAUUUAAAGAGGAAGUUGGAAAUAUCAAAUCUAAUUGCAUCCUUGUUUUGGCUGACAAAUAACCCUUCUACUACUCUCUGUUGCUUUAAUGUUGAUAUUGGAUUUUAGUAAUGGCUACACUUUUGAGAGCUUAUGCAGGAAAUAGGCCAACUUAUCCUUGGAGGGUCAAGGAUUUAGCUCAAGGGUGUUCCAGCCCUUAUUCACUAGGAGAAUUAUGUUUCUGCUACGCAUUUGGAAGACCAGAGGCUCACAUUGAAUCAAAUAUUAGUGCCCUUCUCGGCGAGUCUAAAAGUGAUCAAAUGUACUUUGUUUAGUUGCAGUUGCAGAGUUUUUAAAGCUAAUGCACCCCACCCCCUAACUGAAAUAAUAAAUUUGCUUAGAUGGAUUUGAGGCUAGAACACUAGCUAUUGGUGAAGCCAUUAAAUUAGGAGCAGCUAUAGACUAUCUAUCUAGAAUCGGCAUGCAAAUGAUUCACGAUUAUGAGGCAUUGAUGCAUCUGUUCCUCUACCUUGUUUUGGUGCGGGAUUCUGAAUUGUUUUAUGAGUGCGUGAGAGCUUUGAAAGCCUUUGCUUCAUUUCAUUAUAAAGAAACUAUUGCUAGAAAGGUGGGUCUAGGCUCACAUGCUGCUAGUGGUGUCAAGGUAUACGGGGGAGAAUGUUCAGGAAGGAAUUUUGAGUCGCUUCCUUCCUUCCCUGCUGCAGCUACUUCUAUUUGAGGAUUACAAGUAUAAGGUUGUUGAUAAUUUUAACCUUUUUUUUAUUUUAUUUUUUGCAUCAGGCAUCCUUCAAGGGCAGUUGCUUCCACUCUUCCUUUCUUCCUCCAUUUUUCAUGAACUUUGCUUUACGCCCUCUUGCAAGUAUAUUAAGGAGCAGCUAAAUUGGAGAUUGAUUGAAGAUUUUUUGAGAGAAAUGAGCAGAUUUGUUCCACUACAACUAGUCACGAAUGAAGUAUAAGUUGGAAUUAUAUCUGUUGUAAUAGAAAUCUCGUUACUGUGAGAUAUUGUACAUAUACUAUAAUAUACCUAUAUGAAAUAAAAAAAAAAGUUUGGUCCAA